rnacentral:rRNA from 1 species
AGUCACUGACAUUAGAUACCCGCGUAGUCCAGGGUGUAAACGCUGCAGACUUGGUGUUGGGAACCCUUCGGGGGUGCUCAGUGCCGGAGAGAAGUUGUUAAGUCUGCUACUUGGGGAGUACGUCCGCAAGGAUGAAACUUAAAGGAAUUGGCGGGGGAGCACCGCAACGGGAGGAGCGUGCGGUUUAAUUGGAUUCAACGACCGAAAAACUCACCAGCAGCGACUGUUACAUGAAAGUCAGGUUGAUGACCUUACUAGAUUUUCAG